rnacentral:lncRNA from 1 species
UUAUUUUUUGGGGGAUUUUAUUAUAAAUAGCUUCUAAGAUGGAUUUAUUAUCAUUUCUACCCAUCGAACCUAUGUCCUAGACCUAGAGGGAAAGGGAGGAGCUCUCCCACAUGUUCAUCUCUUCUACAACUUCAGCUUUCUCGUCGCCGUCUAGGUCACUCGCUGGUCUUGUCGCAAAUCGACGUCGUCCAGAUCGCUCUCCAAUCUUAAUUAAACCUUCUUUGCUCCUCGCCAACACAGGUUAAUCGUCCAACUUCAUCUUCCUCAUCCCUUUAAUGCCACCUCUCUUAGGUCCCUUUCUUGAUGUUCGUUCUUCGUCAAUAGGGAUGGUGUGGAUCAUUCGGAACGUGAUUGGAAGGGAGAGAUACAUGAAUGCUAGACAGAGGUUAAAGACGGUUGCUUGAAAAAAAUGGAGUUUGAUAUGCUCAAGGAAGUUGAUGCAUUAAUGACUGGAGAGGAUGAGGAUGUCAGAGACGGUUCACAUCGACGCUGUCCGCUCGUUCCUUUAUCCGAUAUACCUAUCGACACCUGAUGACGUGCAUGUUCGUUAUGCGUUCUACGAGAUCCCAGGUGUGGUUUCGAGAGAGCGUGUCAAGUACAUUGUUCAUCGUCGUAAUCCAGUUCUUG